rnacentral:rRNA from 1 species
UACGUAGGUGGCGAGCGUUGUCCGGAUUUAUUGGGCGUAAAGCGCGCGCAGGCGGUUGUCUAAGUCUGCUGUGAAAUCUCCCGGCUCAACUGGGAGGGGGCGGCGGAGACUGGGCGACUGGAGGGACCUAGAGGCCGGUGGAAUUCCCGGUGUAGUGGUGAAAUGCGUAGAGAUCGGGAGGAACACCUGUGGCGAAAGCGGCUCACUGGACCACAACUGACGCUGAGGCGCGAAAGCUAGGGGAGCAAACAGG